GUAUCUCAUUAUUCCUGGUUCUAGUUUUUCGUUGAAUGAGCUGAACUGGCUUGCCGCAUCUUAUAUUUAGAAGAUAGCUCAAGUGGCUUCUUGUUUGUAUGCGGUAGGAAUCGACCCUAUCUAUGAUGUGUUUCAGCCGACUCUGUGCGGUUACGUGGGUGCAAAGGCUUCCAUGUCGCAGUGCUCAGGCAUCUAAUAUUGCCUUGACCUAUUAUAUAUUGGUGUAACAGCAAAGUCGGUGUAGUGAAUAGGACCAGCUCUACUGAAUACGCACCAAAAUCAAUUCGACCGAAGAUGAAGGGAGCACAGUUGCUGAGGCAGUUAAGGGCGACGACAAUGACGUCUUCGGGCCUCAUGAACCGAUUGCGCUCCGGCAACGGGCUAACUGCUGUCUUCAAGUAACUUAACUAUGAUACAUAGGAAUCUUUGAUGCGCUCUUCCAUCGUUGUAUGUAUACUCAUGAGUAGGUUACUAACACAUGGCCCAUGAUUAGGCUGUAGACCUUCUCAUUUCAUUCCUCAUCCCUGUGAACGCCACUUUGCAGCUUGUUUUUUCACGAUCUGAAAUUGGUUAAUCAACAUUGCUACCACGUGAGGGAGAAGGAAGGGCUACUUCAGACUGCAACAUGAGUUGUACUUUGGUGGCAACCCUCGCAUCUCUUAGAGAAAUCUAUGCAUGUAGUACGUGUUUUUGGUGGAACGAUGAGGUCCUGGAGCUGCUCCGCAAGGGCCAAUUAUUAAUCUUCGCGCACUGUCGAAAGCCUGUUGCUGACAGAGCUCUGACGGAGCUUUGAGGGGUAUGGCAACAACCGCUGAUCGCAAAUCAAUAACGACAACAGGUCCUGUGGAUAAGACACCGACCUUGAAUGUUGGUUCCGCAAAGCCGGGCCAAUCUCCUCGUUCAACCAAAACGCAACAAGUUUGGUGGCGGCCCGAUCCAGUGACCGGACAUUGGGUACCAGAGUCAUCCGACCUGGCGACCAGUUUUGAAGCUCCGCAGUCAUCAGAGCGCAUUGUUCGCGUCCGUGCCGAGUCUACCGACGCUACGGAAGACAAAGUAUGGUGGACUUCCAUGGAAGAAAUCCCCGACAUGGAUAGACCCAAAGAUCUGUAACUUUAUUAUAGCAGUAUAUUCAUGAUCAAAUCCUCAGCUUGUUCCAGUUCAGGGAUGUGCGACUAUAGAUUUGAGUCUGAAGCAUCUAGCAGAGGGCUUACGCAACCCAGAGGUAUGCGAGCAUCUGUCUAAACUGCUUCCAUCCGGCCUUUACCAUACCAUGUGACGCGCAAGCGCCGAAAUUUGUCAGCACAGUUUUUUUUAUUUUUUUUCUAGAAUUAUCUUCAAAUGUCUGCACAAGUAUUUGCACAGAUGUAGACAUGCUUGGAAUCUUCCAUGAUGCUUUGAAUGUUCGAGUGACUAAUUGGAUUUCCAUCUUGAUAUUGUCCUUGA